rnacentral:rRNA from 1 species
CCAAUAGCGUAUAUUUAAGUUGCUGCAGUUAAAAAGCUCGUAGUUGGAUUUCGGGUGGGAAUGGCCGGUCCGCCGUUUCGGUGUGCACUUGCUACGCCCACCUUGCUGCCGGGGACGUGCUCUUGAGUUCACGCUCGGGACACGGAGUCGGCGAGGUUACUUUGAGUAAAUUAGAGUGUUCAAAGCAGGCCUACGCUCUGAAUACAUUAGCAUGGAAUAACACGAUAGGACUCUGGCCUAUCUUGUUGGUCUGUAGGACCGGAGUAAUGAUUAAGAGGGACAGUCGGGGGCAUUCGUAUUUCAUUGUCAGAGGUGAAAUUCUUGGAUUUAUGAAAGACGAACUACUGCGAAAGCAUUUGCCAAGGAUGUUUUCACUAA